rnacentral:rRNA from 1 species
CAAUAGCGUAUAUUUAAGUUGUUGCAGUUAAAAAGCUCGUAGUUGGAUUUCGGGUGGGACGCAGCGGUCUCGCAUUGCGUUUGUACUGCUGCAGCCCUCCUUCUUGCCGGGGGCGGCCUCUCGGACUUCACUGUCUGGGGGUCAGAAUCGGCGAUGUUACUUUGAGUAAAUUAGAGUGUUCAAAGCAAGCUUACGCUCUGAAUAUAAUAGCAUGGGAUAACACGACAGGACUCUGGCCUAUCGUGUUGGUCUAUAGGACCAGAGUAAUGAGUAAGAGGGACAGUCGGGGGCAUUCGUAUUCCGUUGUCAGAGGUGAAAUUCUUGGAUUUACGGAAGACGAACAUCUGCGAAAGCAUUUGCCAAGGAUGUUUUCAUUGA